rnacentral:rRNA from 1 species
CGAGAACGCCUCAGCUUGCUGAGGCAAGUAAAGUGGCGCACGGGUGAGUAACGCGUGGGUAAUCUACCUCCGAAUUGGGGAUAACAUUGCGAAAGCGGUGCUAAUACCGAAUAAUAUCCCUGGGACCCCGGUCUUGGUGAUCAAAGGUGGCCUCUACAUGUAAGCUACCGUUUGGAGAUGAGCCCGCGUACCAUUAGCUAGUUGGUAGGGUAACGGCCUACCAAGGCUGCGAUGGUUAGCUGGUCUGAGAGGAUGAUCAGCCACACUGGAACUGACACACGGUCCAGACUCCUACGGGAGGCAGCAGUGAGGAAUUUUGCGCAAUGGGGGAAACCCUGACGCAGCAACGCCGCGUGAGUGAUGAAGGCCUUCGGGUCGUAAAGCUCUGUCAAGUGGGAAGAACCUGCUCUGUGAUAACACCACGGGGCACCGACGGUACCACUGAAGGAAGCACCGGCUAACUCCGUGCCAGCAGCCGCGGUAAUACGGGGGGUGCUAGCGUUAUUCGGAAUCAUUGGGCGUAAAGGGCGCGUAGGCGGUCUUUUAAGUCAGAUGUGAAAGCCCUCGGCUUAACCGAGGAAGUGCAUUUGAUACUAAGAGACUUGAGUAUGGGAGAGGGAAGCGGAAUUCCUGGUGUAGCGGUGAAAUGCGUAGAUAUC